UACGGAGGUGGCAAGCGUUGCUCGGAAUCACUGGGCGUAAAGGGCGCGUAGGCGGGGAGGUAAGUCGGGUGUGAAAUCCCUCGGCCCAACCGAGGAACUGCGCCCGAGACUGCUUCUCUUGAGUCCCGGAGAGGAAGAUGGAAUUCCCGGUGUAGCGGUGAAAUGUGUGGAGAUCGGGAGGAACACCGGUGGCGAAGGCGGUCUUCUGGACGGUGACUGACGCUGAGGCGCGAAAGCGUGGGGAGCAAACGGG
rnacentral:rRNA from 1 species